rnacentral:lncRNA from 1 species
CCAAGAACAACUAGAAAUUGUGUACUUUAAAAUGAAAUUAGAGAAAGGUAUAUGUCAUUGCCAUUUAAUUGUGAAGUUCUCAUUGUCAAAAUAUCAACUGAUACAGGUGUGAAUUGUGAUUAUUGUGCUGGAGUCACGGGGUAAACAGUAGUGUCAUAGAACUGCUCGUCUUCUAUUACAGAAUAUCAUAGUGUUAUCUACUGACAAGCUUUAUCCGUUUUAU